AGCUCUGAACACUGAGCACUGGGCCCUGUACUGAUCAGAGGUGGGGAAGGCUUCCUGUCCGCUUUGGACCUGAGCUGCCAGCACCUCGCCUUCCUGGAGAGAGAGACUGAGCAGCGCCCUCCCACUUCCCCCUCUUGUGUCUCCUCCGGCAGUGUUCAGGAGACGUGUGCACUUAUCAGGCUGCAGCCUAAACCCAGUCGCCACCCUGAGACCCUCAGAGGAGGAGCAACAGUGUCGGGACUCUGAGGCAGAGAGGAGGAUGACUGAGGCUCCUGCGGAGGCUGACACAGAUGCAGACAAGGAAGACACCCCCGGGGACAGUGGGCCAGGCCAUUCCCGUCCUAACAGGGAUUCCAUUCCUGAGGCUGCUUGGUAUGAGGGACUGGGGGAGCCAGAAGAUGCCACCCCCCUACUGCUGUGGGACUUUGGCCCCUUGGGGCAGUGGCUAGGGUUCACCCGGAGUAGGGACUGUCACAGAGGCUCACAAGUGUGGUUCAAGCUCCACCUUAGCGCACCCUCUGGGCCUUCCUCAAAAUCGCAUGACUCUGACACUGAGCCACCCUUGAGAAGUGGCAAGGGACAAGGGGCUUGGUGGAUGCAUCAUCUCCUUGUCUCAGGAAAGCAGCAGAUUUCUCCAGCCGACCAUGACUGGGGUCCUGGGCCCCCCCAAACCACAGAGGAGGCUGGGAAGGUGGAGAACAGGGCUGUUGGACCUGACUUUGACUGUGGCCUCCCCGAGAACACUAGUGGAACGGACCUGGAUGCCGGAAAACAUGGCCUGGACCUCACAUGGCCACGGCCAGGCAGGUGGGUCUGGUGAGGGCAGAAGGACUGGAGGACUGCAGACUGGUGGUACAGCAAGCAGCUCUCGAGGCAGCUCUGGAGCUCUCGUGGAGCCUCUGACCCCAAAGCCAGGAGCCACUGCCCCCGCUCAGAGGGCAGCCACUCCUGCGUGGGGGAGUCCAUGUGGGCCAGCUGGCCAUGCAGAAGUGCAGAGCAGUCCUCCAAAGUCCUCUGGCGAGCUCACCAAGGCCUUGUAGGCCCCAGGCCUGCAUUUCAGCCCCUUCGACCUAUAGCAAUUUCCUGGAAGUGAGUGAACAAAUGAUAAACACCUGUGGGGACACCGCACCCUGGGUGGCCCCCCGGAAGCUGCAAGGGGGUCAGCUGGAGGUGAGGGUGUGGGGUGGGAGUGAGCUGAGAAGAGGAACUAGGGGAGAGUGGACUUCCAGGAAGCCGGGACCUUGUGGGGCCCCAGCCUAGGGCACCGGCCACUGGAGACAGUGUGGGGGGACCUUCCCCAUUCAAAAUGCCAGUGCAGGGUGACAGGGGGUAAAUGGGCUCUGCCUGCUGCAUCCGACGUUCACUGCAUGCUAAUCCUACAGGAACACCUCCGCCAGGCUUGGCCUCCACCAGGCCCCGCGGGGAGCACCAGGCUUCUCACAGCUGCAGCCCUGGCAGCCUGGAGGCUCAGAGGAGCCCAGGGGCCAAGGGCUGGCAUGAAGAAGCACCCCCGCCCCAGCCUCCCAGCCCCCUCUGCCCAGGCAACUCGACACUGUGGAGAGGGCCCCACUGUCGCUGGGUUGUUAUGCUGAGAAAUGGAACAUUGCUUAACCCCAAGGAGAAACCACAAGAAGAGAAAAACAUGCAAAGUCGCC
ensembl:lncRNA